rnacentral:rRNA from 1 species
UACGUAGGGUGCAAGCGUUAAUCGGAAUUACUGGGCGUAAAGCGCGCGUAGGCGGAUUUGCAAGUCGGGGGUGAAAGCCCGAGGCUCAACCUCGGAACUGCCUUCGAUACUGCAAAUCUCGAGUCCGAGAGAGGUGAGUGGAAUUCCUAGUGUAGAGGUGAAAUUCGUAGAUAUUAGGAAGAACACCAGUGGCGAAGGCGGCUCACUGGCUCGGUACUGACGCUGAGGCGCGAAAGCGUGGGGAGCAAACAGG